UCUGUCGGCCGCGGAAGCCUGGAGUGGGCGGUACGCAGACGCGCGCGGUGAGACCCGCUGUCUGCUCAGCGGACUCUGCCCGCCCCCACCUCCCCCUGCGUCGGGCCGACAUGAAGGACUCGCUGGUGCUGCUGGGCCGUGUCCCGGCGCACCCGGACUCCCGCUGCUGGUUCCUGGCCUGGAACCCCGCGGGGACCCUGCUGGCCUCGUGCGGCGGCGACCGGAGAAUCCGCAUCUGGGGCACGGAGGUGUGUAACCACUCUCGAGGGCCAUGAAAAUGAGGUCAAGUCAGUGGCUUGGGCCCCAUCUGGCAACCUCCUGGCCACUUGCAGCCGAGAUAAGAGCGUUUGGGUCUGGGAAGUUGAUGAAGAGGAUGAGUAUGAAUGUGUCAGUGUUCUCAACUCCCACACACAGGAUGUCAAGCAUGUGGUUUGGCACCCAAGUCAGGAGCUCUUAGCUUCUGCCAGCUAUGAUGACACAGUGAAGCUGUACCGGGAGGAAGAGGAUGACUGGGUAUGCUGUGCCACCCUUGAGGGCCAUGAAUCCACUGUGUGGAGCUUGGCCUUUGACCCGAGUGGCCAGCGCCUGGCGUCUUGUAGUGAUGACCGUACUGUGCGUAUCUGGCGUCAGUAUCUACCAGGCAAUGAACAAGGUGAGGUCCAUUAGUAGAGCUAAAGAAGACCCAUGUCUCAAGGGGUUCACAGUCUGCUAAGACACGUACAUGAGUCAGAGCAAAUGGGGGUAAAAGGUAAGAUGUGCCACAAGAGGGCUUUGGAUAGAGUGCUGGAAGAAUCAGGAAAGUUUUGUAGAACGGGUUGUUUCAUCUGAAUUUAAAAGGGUAUGUAGGAUUUUAACAUGAGAAUUUCACGUGAGAAUUCAAGUGAAAACUUAACAGUGUGAGUAAAGAUAACAAUGGCGGGAAUGCUUAGGCUGAGGGGUGGUAAUGCAUUUAAAUGGGGCAUAGGACGUCUAGGGUUUGGAGAGGAAUAAAGUGGGUUGGGUCGGCUGGUGGGUGGCCUUCACAGGCACGCAAAGUAGUUACAUACAGUCUGCAACAGAACAGGGAUGCUUCCUCGGAAUUCUGCUUGAGAAACGCCAGUCUGGCUAUAGUGUGUAAGGCAGAUCAGCAGGGAUGGGGACACGAACGGAGACGCAGACUCAUAAUCAGUUGAAGAUGAGGGUGAGGGAAGGUAAGUUAGGUUCUCCUUUGAGGUGCCCAGGACAUAGAAACGUUUAAGGGCAAGAGAAGUCUGUCUUGCAGGGGUGGCAUGCAGCGGCUCUGACCCCAGUUGGAAAUGUAUCUGUACUUUGUCCGGCUUCCACUCAAGGACCAUUUAUGACAUUGCUUGGUGUCAGCUGACAGGGGCUCUGGCCACAGCUUGUGGGGAUGACGCGAUCCGCGUGUUUCAGGAGGAUCCCAACUCGGAUCCACAGCAGCCCACCUUCUCCCUGACAGCCCACUUGCAUCAGGCCCAUUCCCAGGAUGUCAACUGUGUGGCCUGGAACCCCAAGGAGCCAGGGCUACUGGCCUCCUGCAGUGAUGAUGGGGAGGUGGCCUUCUGGAAGUAUCAGCGGCCUGAAGGCCUCUGAGCUACCUCGACUUUGGACAGAGUAAUGACUCCCCAGAAAACGUCAUAUAAGACUUUACCAGCCCCUGAGAGGACCAGGAGGAGCAUCCUUGACCUUCAUUUAACUUGGCUCACUUCUCUUCAGACUUGGGUAGAAGUGCAGAGCCGCAGAAUUGCUUUCCUUCCCCGCCUUUGACAUGAGGCCUUCAGUAAAGAGCUACAGAACAUCAGUACAUUGUUAUACCACAGAUUUUUCUUGCAUUAGGGCACAGUGUUAAAUUUUUUGGAGGUAAAUAUACUAUUUAUAAUCACUAUAUAUAGUAGGAGGGGGUAUGUGUCUCAGGCUUUUCUGAAGUUGCAAGACUUAAAGAAAUAAUCCAUCUGCAUCCCAAGUCCUAUUUUAUAAGGAUAUUCAUAAAAAUUCCAUGGUGAAUCCUUGUCUGAAAUAGGUCCUCCCUUCCCAGUUUCUGUGUAAGUCUUUGCAUUUAAGACAUCCAAUCAAUAAUGAAGGAAAUUUUUUUCUGAAUGUAGGUUUGAGUGAGAGGCACCUCUGCUUUCCCUUAGCAACCCUCAUAUACCUCCUUGCACUGUUACGCUGUGAUGGCAACUGGGGAUAGAAAAAAAUGGGGAAAGACAGGAAUCCUAAAAGGGAGAGUUAUUACUGGCCACAAGCCCUGUAUUCUCAACAGGGAUGCAAAUUGGUUCUUCAGUAAGGAUAAAAAAAAAAAUCAGACAGUUGUUUGUGGCCCUCCUAAGGCCCACAGCACAUAUAUAGUGUGUCUGUGAUACUCCAUUUUCAUGGCAGGGAGUGAUCAGGAAGAAGGCUCCCUAGGGGACUGCCGAUUUAAACCAGUUGAGAAACACUGCCAUCAGCAGGCAGUUUCAGACUCACUCAAGUUGUCUCUUGACAGUCACUUCUAAAUGGGUUCUAACGUGACAAUGGCCUCCAAAACUACAGCCUUCCCUGAAGUUUAAGCUGUGACCUUAGAUUUUAGAAGGACAGUGGGGCUGUACCUAGAAUAGUGGUUCUUGAAGAAUGCGGCCUGCAGAUCCUGGGAGUCCCAAGACCCUUUCAGGGAGGAUCUGUGAGGUCAACUGUUGGCACUGUGGCAUGAAUCAAGGUGGUGGCAGCAAACUUCUAGUAGUUUUGAUAUGUCCUUGAUAGAACAAAUAGCAAUGGUUAACUAUUAAAUGUUGACCUAGCCAGCGCAGUGGCUCACGCCUAUAAUCCCAGCACUUUGGGAGGCUGAGGCAGGCGGAUCACCUGAGGUCGGGAGUUCGAGGCCAGCCUGACCAACAUGGAGAAACCCCGUCUCUACUAAAAAUACAAAAUUAGCUGGGCAUGGUGGUGCAUGCCUGUAAUUCCAGCUACUCGGGAGGCUGAGGCAAGAGAAUCGCUUGAAUCCGGUAGGUGGAGGUUGCAGUGAGCCGAGAUCAUACCAUUGCACUCCAGCCUAGGCAACAAGAGUGAAACCCUGUCUCAAAAAGAAAAAAAAAGUUGACCUUGAGAAUUUAUAAUAUUCUGAGAAAACUGGAAGCAUGCAUAAAGCCCCUCUGCUGUGCACUGAAGUAUGGGUGCCUUGAGGAAAAGCAGUUAUACAGUUGAGUUGCAAGCUGAAUUGGCUGUUUUCAAGGCAUGCCCUUUAGAGUUGAAAGAACUAGCAGAUUACGGUAUUUAGACUUGAAUAUUUGGCUGAUAUUUUCUGGAAAUGAAUGGAAUGAGCCUCUCACCUCAAGGGAAACAACUGAUAGUGUUGCCAGUGAUAAAGCUUUCAAGCAAAAAUUGGAAUUUCUGAAAAUCUGUACUCCACCAUGAGCUUUAUUGUUGGGGAUAUUAACAAAUGUGAUUUGUAUAAUGAAAUGCAUUUCAUUUGGAAGAAUUCAGUGAACCAUUUUUCCAAGUGACCAGUACGUGAUGUUACAAAAUCAUGCAUGGCUCAAAGAUUGAUUCAAAAGUGUAAGACAGGCCAGUGGAUUUUAAUGUAUUAACAAUAUAAGAGUGCAUUAAGUUUUCGGAGUCU
rnacentral:sRNA from 1 species